GGAUAGCUCAGUUGGUAGAGCAUGAGUUUCUUAAUCUCAAGGCCAUGGGUUUGAGCCCCACGUUGGGUGAAAUA